AUUGAACGCUGGCGGCAGGCCUAACACAUGCAAGUCGAGCGGAUGAAGGGAGCUUGCUCCUGGAUUCAGCGGCGGACGGGUGAGUAAUGCCUAGGAAUCUGCCUGGUAGUGGGGGAUAACGUCCGGAAACGGGCGCUAAUACCGCAUAUGUCCUGAGGGAGAAAGUGGGGGAUCUUCGGACCUCACGCUACCAGAUGAGCCUAGGUCGGAUUAGCUAGUUGGUGGGGUAAAGGCCUACCAAGGCGACGAUCCGUAACUGGUCUGAGAGGAUGAUCAGUCACACUGGAACUGAGACACGGUCCAGACUCCUACGGGAGGCAGCAGUGGGGAAUAUUGGACAAUGGGCGAAAGCCUGAUCCAGCCAUGCCGCGUGUGUGAAGAAGGUCUUCGGAUUGUAAAGCACUUUAAGUUGGGAGGAAGGGCAGUAAGUUAAUACCUUGCUGUUUUGACGUUACCAACAGAAUAAGCACCGGCUAACUUCGUG
rnacentral:rRNA from 1 species